GGCGAUUUAGCUCAGUUGGUUAGAGCGUGUGCUUAACACUAGCAGCCCCUCUUCAAAGAGUGCUGUAGCGUUGCGCACAAGGUCGGCGGUUCGACCCCGUCAAACGUCA